UGAGGAAUUUUGCGCAAUGGGGGAAACCCUGACGCAGCAACGCCGCGUGGGUGAUGAAGGCCUUCGGGUCGUAAAGCCCUGUCGGGCGGGAAGAACGUCCCUUCGGGGAAUGACGGUACCGCCAGAGGAAGCACCGGCUAACUCCGUGCCAGCAGCCGCGGUAAUACGGAGGGUGCAAGCGUUAUUCGGCAUUACUGGGCGUAAAGGGCGUGCAGGCGGGAGAGCAAGUCUGAUGUGAAAGCCCGGGGCUUAACCCCGGAAGGGCAUUGGAAACUGCUUUUCUUUAGUUCUGGAGAGGAAGGGAGAAUUCCCGGUGUAGAGGGGAAGGUCGUAGAGAUCGGGAGGAACAUCAGUGGCGAAGGCGCCCUUCGGGACAGCAACUGACGCUGAGACGCGAAAGCGUGGGGAGCAAACA
rnacentral:rRNA from 1 species